GAGGCGGGCCGGGCUGCCGCAGGCUGUGCUUGAGGAAAGUCCGGGCUCGGCAGGGCACGAUGCCGGAUAACAUCCGGGGCAGGAGAGGGCUUGUGGUCCCACAAUCGUGGGCCAUGAAUUCUCUUCUGUACAGAGAGCGCCACAGAAAACAUACCGCCGCCGCAGGGUGGUAAGGGUGAAAAGGCGAGGUAAGAGCUCACCGCAUUUCCAGUAAUGGAAAUGGCAUGGCAAGCCUCAUCGCGAGCAAGGUCAAACAGCGAUGGAUUGCCCGUCCAUGCCGUAAUAUACGGCAAAAAUCGCGGGUAGACCGCUAGAAUGUAUCAGUAAUGAUACAUCAAGAGAGAUGGCAGCCAUGCGAAAAGUGCAGAAAUGCACUCGACGCAUACAGAACCCGGCUUACAGGCCCGCCUUUUUU
rnacentral:RNase_P_RNA from 1 species